rnacentral:rRNA from 1 species
GAUGAACGCUAGCGGCAGGCUUAAUACAUGCAAGUCGAACGGUAACAUGAGUAGCAAUACUUGAUGACGAGUGGCGCACGGGUGCGUAACACGUAUGCAACCUUCCUUCAACUGGAGAAUAGCCCGAAGAAAUUCGGAUUAACUCUCCAUAGUAAAACAGAACGGCAUCGUUUUGUUUUAAACCUACGGGGUUGAGAUGGGCAUGCGUUGCAUUAGCUAGUUGGCGGGGU